GCUUAACACAUGCAAGUCGAGGGGCAGCAUGGUCUUUUCUUGCUAAGGCCGAUGGCGACCGGCGCACGGGUGAGUAACACGUAUCCAACCUGCCGUCUACUCUUGGACAGCCUUCUGAAAGGAAGAUUAAUACAAGAUGGCAUCAUGAGUCCACAUGUUCACAUGAUUAAAGGUAUUCCGGUAGACGAUGGGGAUGCGUUCCAUUAGAUAGUAGGCGGGGUAACGGCCCACCUAGUCUUCGAUGGAUAGGGGUUCUGAGAGGAAGGUCCCCCACAUUGGAACUGAGACACGGUCCAAACUCCUACGGGAGGCAGCAGUGAGGAAUAUUGGUCAAUGGGCGAGAGCCUGAACCAGCCAAGUAGCGUGAAGGAUGACUGCCCUAUGGGUUGUAAACUUCUUUUAUAAAGGAAUAAAGUCGGGUAUGCAUACCCGUUUGCAUGUACUUUAUGAAUAAGGAUCGGCUAACUCCGUGCCAGCAGCCGCGGUAAUACGGAGGAUCCGAGCGUUAUCCGGAUUUAUUGGGUUUAAAGGGAGCGUAGAUGGAUGUUUAAGUCAGUUGUGAAAGUUUGCGGCUCAACCGUAAAAUUGCAGUUGAUACUGGAUAUCUUGAGUGCAGUUGAGGCAGGCGGAAUUCGUGGUGUAGCGGUGAAAUGCUUAGAUAUCACGAAGAACUCCGAUUGCGAAGGCAGCCUGCUAAGCUGCAACUGACAUUGAGGCUCGAAAGUGUGGGUAUCAAACAGGAUUAGAUACCCUGGUAGUCCACACGGUAAACGAUGAAUACUCGCUGUUUGCGAUAUACAGCAAGCGGCCAAGCGAAAGCGUUAAGUAUUCCACCUGGGGAGUACGCCGGCAACGGUGAAACUCAAAGGAAUUGACGGGGGCCCGCACAAGCGGAGGAACAUGUGGUUUAAUUCGAUGAUACGCGAGGAACCUUACCCGGGCUUAAAUUGCAGAUGAAUUACGGUGAAAGCCGUAAGCCGCAAGGCAUCUGUGAAGGUGCUGCAUGGUUGUCGUCAGCUCGUGCCGUGAGGUGUCGGCUUAAGUGCCAUAACGAGCGCAACCCUUGUUGUCAGUUACUAACAGGUCAUGCUGAGGGCUCUGACAAGACUGCCAUCGUAAGAUGUGAGGAAGGUGGGGAUGACGUCAAAUCAGCACGGCCCUUACGUCCGGGGCUACACACGUGUUACAAUGGGGGGUACAGAGGGCCGCUACCACGCGAGUGGAUGCCAAUCCCAAAAACCUCUCUCAGUUCGGACUGGAGUCUGCAACCCGACUCCACGAAGCUGGAUUCGCUAGUAAUCGCGCAUCAGCCACGGCGCGGUGAAUACGUUCCCGGGCCUUGUACACACCGCCCGUCAAGCCAUGGGAGCCGGGGGUACCUGAAGUGCGUAACCGCGAGGAGCGCCCUAGGGUAAAACUGGUGACUGG
rnacentral:rRNA from 1 species